rnacentral:rRNA from 1 species
AACUCUGAGACAGGUGCUGCAUGGCUGUCGUCAGCUCGUGUUGUGAAAUGUUGGUUAAGUCCCGCAACGAGCGCAACCCUUAUCCUUUGUUGCCAGCGAGUAAUGUCGGGAACUCAAAGGAGACUGCCGGUGAUAAACCGGAGGAGGGUGGGAUGACGUCAAGUCAUCAUGGCCCUUACGAGUAGGGCUACACACGUGCUACAAUGGCAUAUACAAAGAGAAGCGAACUCGCGAGAGCAAGCGGACCUCAUAAAGUAUGUCGUAGUCCGGAUUGGAGUCUGCAACUCGACUCCAUGAAGUCGGAAUCGCUAGUAAUCGUAGAUCAGAAUGCUACGGUGAAUACGUUCCCGGGCCUU